rnacentral:rRNA from 1 species
AUUCUGGCUCAGGAUGAACGCUAGCUACAGGCUUAACACAUGCAAGUCGAGGGGCAGCAGGACGAUAGCUUGCUAUUGUCGCUGGCGACCGGCGCACGGGUGAGUAACGCGUAUCCAACCUUCCCCUUAGUAGAGGAUAGCCCGGCGAAAGUCGGAUUAAUACUCUAUGUUGUAUUUUUGAGGACAUCUGACGAAUACCAAAGAUUCAUCGCUAAGGGAUGGGGAUGCGUCUGAUUAGCUUGUUGGCGGGGUAACGGCCCACCAAGGCGACGAUCAGUAGGGGUUCUGAGAGGAAGGUCCCCCACAUUGGUACUGAGACACGGACCAAACUCCUACGGGAGGCAGCAGUGAGGAAUAUUGGUCAAUGGGCGAGAGCCUGAACCAGCCAAGUAGCGUGCAGGAAAGACUGCCCUAUGGGUUGUAAACUGCUUUUAUCAGGGAAUAAAGUUCGGCACGUGUGCUGUUUUGUAUGUACCUGAUGAAUAAGGACCGGCUAAUUCCGUGCCAGCCGCUGC